UACAGAGGUCUCAAGCGUUGUUCGGAUUCAUUGGGCGUAAAGGGUGCGUAGGCGGCGCGGUAAGUCGGGUGUGAAAUCUCGGAGCUUAACUCCGAAACUGCAUUCGAUACUGCCGUGCUUGAGGACUGGAGAGGAGACUGGAAUUUACGGUGUAGCGGUGAAAUGCGCAGAUAUCAGGAAGAACACCAAUGGCGAAGGCAGCUCUCUGGGCCAUUACUGACGCUGAGGAGCGAAAGCGUGGGGAGCGAACAGG
rnacentral:rRNA from 1 species